rnacentral:rRNA from 1 species
AACGUAGGUGGCAAGCGUUAUCCGGACUUUACUGGGCGUAAAGGGUGUGCAGGCGGGGCUGUAAGUGGUGUGAUGAAAUCUCCAGGCUUAACCUGGAGGGGUUAUGCCAGACUGCAGUUCUAGAGGGCGAGAGAGGGGGGUGGAAUUCCGGGUGGUAGUGGUGAAAUGCGUAGAGAUCCGGAGGAACCCCAGAGGCGAAGGCGGCCCCCUGGCUCGUACCUGACGCUCAGCCACGAAAGCAUGGGGGAGCGAACGGG